GCUUCCUUGGUGUAGUCGGUUAUCACGUCGGUCUCAUAUCUCUCAUCACAGCUGAGAAUGAUUGUUCAUAGAACAAGUAAUCCGAAGGCCGCCAGUUCGAAUCUGGCAGGGAGCA